rnacentral:lncRNA from 1 species
AACAAUUUUUCUUUUACCUUACCUUGGUUUUAUGAUGCCUUUUCCGGCUUGGAAAACUUCCGAGUCGUUUUUACCACACUGAAAGGCGGCGAGGCAAAUGCACGGUGUGGGAGUGGAGUUGGGAUUCUGAGGCUCACCAUCACCAUUAUUUGUGUUUCCACCGUUGUUGUUGUUGUUUCCAUUUUCGUUAUUACUGCCGUUAGCACCAUUGUUGGUGUUGGCGCCGUUGGAAUUGUUGUUUCCACCACUGUUAUUGUUGCCACCAUUGUUAUUGUUGUUGCCACCAUUGUUAUUGUUGUUGCCACCAUUGUUACUGUUACCACCAGUAUUACUAUUGUCGCCACCGUUGUUGUUAUUGUUGGUAUUUUUGUCCACCAGACAGCAUACAUUCAGUCCCGUACAUUGCUCGGGACGUCUCGAUCCGCUGGACGAGGGGCGGGGGCGCCGGGGAGGAGGCCCUCCCGCGGGGCCCUCCGGCCCCGGCCCCGGCCCGCCGCUGGGCCCCGCACGCGAUCACGCACAAGAAACCAGUCACCAGCGCAGCAUGGAGCUUCAUCGCGGCCGAGCUUCCACGACUGACACUCGCCGCGACGCCGACGCCGGCCGAUACGCCGGACGACUUGACCGUCGCGGCGCAGCGUUGCCGAUUCGCCGGAAACGGCAUUGAAUUUUGAAUCACGGUAGAAAUUGACCGCUUUUAAGGUGAUUCGUCAAGCUCAAGUGACGUGGUCGAACUGGCAUGCGAUAUAUCGCAUCUUUUAGGUCAAAAAUCUCGGCAGAUUUUGAAUUUUCAGCAAAAAAGGACGAUAGCCCCUGCGCCUGAGCCUUAAGAAUCAUCCUAAACCCAAAAAUCGGAAAAAUUUAGAGAAAUGAAAGCAGAAUAGUGUUUGGAAAAAAACCUCGCAUUCGAUACAGAACUCGAUAGCUGUAUCGAAUGCGAGGUUUUUUUCCAAACACUAUUCUGCUUUCAUUUCUCUAAAUUUUUCCGAUUUUUGGGUUUAGAAUGAUUCUUUAGGCUCAGGCGCAGGGGCUAUCGUCCUUUUUUUGCUGAAAAUUCAAAAUCUGCCGAGAUUUUUGACCUAAAAGAUGCGAUAUAUCGCAUGCCAGUUCGACCACGUCACUUGAGCUUGACGAAUCACCUUAAUGUGAAACUGAUUUGGGGUGUUUAGCAUAUUGCAUAAGCAUCACGGGGAAAAAGA